AUAUAAGACCCGGUGGGAAGAGGGAGAGAGAUUUCCACAUGCAGAAUUUACAUAGGAAAUGUCCAAGAAUAAGUUCAAAGACCUUUAAACCUUCUGAUUUAGAGGGUUUAAACUAGUAAAAAAGAGGGAUUAUUUGUGAAUACAUAACUUUGGAAAUAGCUAUUGCUAUGUUGAGAGCCUCCACCCAUCAAAACUUUCAUGCUGCAUAAUUCUAGCCUGCUAUAAUUUCUGUGAAUGAUGCCCUCAUUUCCAACGUCAUGUAGAUUACAUAUCACAUCGCUUCCUGUUGUUAUGCGAUACAGAUACAGUGUCUCUCUCUUCCAGUCCUACACUCACCAGUGGGGAGUUGUGAAGUGUGCUGCCUUCUUAUCUGAUCCACUUGAAUCUGGAUGUGGUAUCUUGGACGACACAGAAUGAAAUGCAAGAUAAUAAGAAGGAUACGAAAUGGAUCGUAAAGCUUCUGCUCAGAAGACUUUAUGUCACCUCUUCUACUUCACUCAUCAAACCAAGCCAUGUGUCUGAGCUUUAUGGCAACAGGACAGAGACCCAGUACUAGUAACAUGAUAUGGAAUAGAGAUGUAUAAUCCUAUUAUAGGUGGGACAACAAAUAAUUGGAAAUAAAUUAAAAUCUUGGGUUACAAAUUGUUAUUUUCCUCCCUUUAAAUCACAGAAUAUGUUUAUUCCUCCUCUAGGAAGAUUUUUUUAAAAACCAACUCAAAGUCUAGGACUUUGUAAUAAUUUCUACAUCUGGCUCAUUACAGCUCCUCUUGAUCUGGGAUUUAUGAAAUAAGAUGUCGGAUUAUUUGUCUCUCCUCUCCAACAAAAGUACAUAGUCAUAGGAAAAGAACAAAAUAAUUGCAAUAAAUACUUCCAUUUGAAAGAGGGAAAAUAGAAGGUAUAUAUACAAUACAUAGUCACUAGCUCAUAAUUUAAAAUCUUGUCAGUAAUGUUCCCAGUUUAUGUCCUAGUAAUGCUCCCUGCGCCUACUUGUUCUUCAGUCUAUCAAUCUCCAUGUUCCUGGCUCGGCCUCUUACAUGAUCUUUUCUUUGUAGUAUCUUUGUUAGAAUCAACACAUAUGGAGGGAGCUGCUUCUUGCCUAUAGAAAUGGGAGUCUGGGGCACCUGAAUGGCUCAGUUGGAUAAGCACCUGCCUUUGACUCACAGCAUGAUCUCAAGGUCCUGGGAUCAAGUCCUGCAGUCCUGCAGAUUGGGCUCUCUGCUCAGCAUGGAGUCUGCUUCCCCCUCCACCCCUGCCUCCUGUUUGUGCUCUCUUGUGCUUUCUGUCAAAUAAAUAAAUAAAAUCUUUAAAAAAUAUAUAGAAAUGUGAGUCUGAGUAAAAUGUAUUUGUUUUGAACAGUCAUAAUCAUGUUUAAUCCCAGUGAACUUUUUGAAUAUGACAAGUUUGCAAAAAAAACUUAGCUUUUUAUCUAUUUGAUCCCAGUACAUUUUAUGUGAUAGUGGUAAACCCACCAUUCUUUUUGAUAUAUGCCUCUUUCUUCAGGUUUCAAUGGCAAAUUCAUGCCCUUAAUCUUGUUUUCUUGAGCCAUCUAGUCCACUGAAAGUUUAAAUGAGCACAUCUUAACCAAUUAAACAACUUUAAAAAAUUUUUUGAAGACCAUGCUCCUGAGUAGGACCUAAGAUUGACUCUAAUUAGCUUUCUGUCAUAUCUAUUCUCAUUAUCUCAUCUUGGAUUAUGAGUUUUCUGGCUUCCUAGUCAUUA
rnacentral:lncRNA from 1 species